UUAGUUUUCGGGGUCUCCCUCUGCCUCGAGGCUUAGAUGAUGGCUGUUGCUCAUCUUGAUGCUGAGGAUCUUUGUUCACAGGUGCUUUUGGUUUAGGAGAUCUUUCCAUGCUAGAAAGGUCAAGCUGCUGCUCUGGAUCUUUGUGCCAUUCAAGAAAAGCAGGUGAUUCAACAGAAUGUAAUUUGGCUUUCAUUUGUUGAUUAGAGAGAAUCAUAUCAGUACUAGACUUUAGUUUACGGGGUCUUCCUCUGCCUCGAGGCUUAGAUGAUGGCUGUUGCUCAUCUUGAUGCUGAGGAUCUUUGUUCACAGGUGCUUUUGGUUUAGGAGAUCUUUCCAUGCUAGAAAGGUCAAGCUGCUGCUCUGAAUCUUUGUGCCAUUCAAGAAAAGAAGGUGAUUCAACAGAAUGUAAUUUGGCUUCCAUUUGUUGAUUAGAGAGAAUCUGUGGGUGAGGAUGCUGCUCUGACAAUAGAUCACAAAUAAGUUCCUUCUGUUCACAAGGGCUUGUAAUAUUCAGUUGCUUUUCCUCUUCCACCACACCCAAGUUAUGGGUAACAAUGGCUUGAACAUCGUCUUGCUUGUUAAAUCCCACCUGGACGCCUCUGUUUUCUCAACAAAAGUGGACACAUUUAAGCUGUAUCACUAGUAUAGUAUCGUAACAUCAAUAUUUAAAAAAAAAAAAAUCAAAAAACCAAGUCAGUUUGAUUUCCUUCUCCUCAGACUUUCCCAUUUUCACUACAUGGUUACACCCUGGCUUUCUUCUGAUGAUAAUUGAGUAACAUACAUACACAUAAGAUCAGUAAAUGUGAGAAGGGCUGUUUACCUCUCCAAUGUGGUCAUCUGAUCCUUUUGCCGCUUCAGUUCCAUAGCUUGGAGAGUAUCCUGACACCAUGGCUAUCAUUUAUAAUUUAUUCAUAUCUAAGAAAACAACCAUGCAAAAUUGAUUGUU